UGGGGAAUUUUGGACAAUGGGCGAAAGCCUGAUCCAGCAAUGCCGCGUGUGUGAAGAAGGCCUUCGGGUUGUAAAGCACUUUUGUCCGGAAAGAAAUCCUUGGCUCUAAUACAGUCGGGGGAUGACGGUACCGGAAGAAUAAGCACCGGCUAACUACGUGCCAGCAGCCGCGGUAAUACGUAGGGUGCAAGCGUUAAUCGGAAUUACUGGGCGUAAAGCGUGCGCAGGCGGUUUGCUAAGACCGAUGUGAAAUCCCCGGGCUCAACCUGGGAACUGCAUUGGUGACUGGCAGGCUAGAGUAUGGCAGAGGGGGGUAGAAUUCCACGUGUGAGCAGUGAAAUGCGUAGAGAUGUGGAGGAAUACCGAUGGCGAAGGCAGCCCCUGGGCCAAUACUGACGCUCAUGCACGAAAGCGUGGGGAGCAAACAGGAUUAGAUACCCUGGUAGUCCACG
rnacentral:rRNA from 1 species